CGUACCUACGGGCCGCAGCAGUGGGGAAUAUUGGGCAAUGGGCGCAAGCCUGACCCAGCAACGCCGCGUGAAGGAAGAAGGCUUUCGGGUUGUAAACUUCUUUUAAGAGGGAAGAGCAGAAGACGGUACCUCUUGAAUAAGCCACGGCUAACUACGUGACAGCAGCCGCGGUAAUAUGUCGGUGGCAAGCGUUGUCCGGAUUUACUGGGUGUAAAGGGCGUGUAGUCGGGCUGAAAAGUCAGAUGUGCAAUUCCGGAGCUCAACCCCGGACCUGCAUCUGAAACUGUUGGAUUUGAGUAUCGGAG
rnacentral:rRNA from 1 species